AUACGGAGGGUGCAAGCGUUAUUCGGAAUCACUGGGCGUAAAGGGUGCGUAGGCGGUUUGGUAAGUCUGAUGUGAAAUCCUAUGGCUCAACCAUAGAACUGCAUUGGAAACUGCUAAACUAGAAUACUGAGGGGGCAGAUGGAAUUAGUGGUGUAGGGGUAAAAUCCGUAGAUAUCACUAGGAAUACCGAAAGCGAAAGCGAUCUGCUGGGAAGUUAUUGACGCUGAGGCACGAAAGCGUGGGGAGCAAACGGGAUUAGAAACCCCGGUAGUCC
rnacentral:rRNA from 1 species